rnacentral:tRNA from 2 species
CGGAAGAUGACGGGGGUUCUGGGCUUGCCUCACACGCGAGAGGUCGUAGGUUCAAGUCCUACGCCGCCCACCA